UACGGGGGGGCAAGCGUUGUUCGGAAUUACUGGGCGUAAAGGGCUCGUAGGCGGCCAACUAAGUCGGAUGUGAAUCCCCAGGCUCAACUUGGGAACUGCAUCCGAUACUGGAUGGCUUGAAUUCGGGAGAGGGAUGCGGAAUUCCAGGUGUAGCGGUGAAAUGCGUAGAUAUCUGGAGGAACACCGGUGGCGAAGGCGGCAUCCUGGACCGAUACUGACGCUGAGGAGCGGAAGCCAGGGAGCAAACGGG
rnacentral:rRNA from 1 species